CAAUAGCGUAUAUUAAAGUUGUUGCAGUUAAAAAGCUCGUAGUUGAAUUUUUGCUUGCCGCCGAUGUCGGAACUUCCGUAUGUUCGGCGGCGUGCAUCCUUGGGUGGAACCUGUGUGGCAUUAGGUUGUCGUGCAGGGGAUGCUCAUCGUUUACUGUGAAAAAAUUAGAGUGUUCAAAGCAGGCUUACGCCGUUGAAUAUAUUAGCAUGGAAUAAUAAGAUAGGACCUUGGUACUAUUUUGUUGGUUUGCGCACCGAGGUAAUGAUUAACAGGGACAGUUGGGGGUAUUCGUAUUCCAUUGUCAGAGGUGAAAUUCUUGGAUUUCUGGAAGACGAACUACUGCGAAAGCAUUUACCAAGGAUGUUUUCAUUAA
rnacentral:rRNA from 1 species